GACGAACGCUGGCGGCGUGCUUAACACAUGCAAGUCGAACGCUGAAGCUCAGCUUUUGUUGGGUGGAUGAGUGGCGAACGGGUGAGUAACACGUGAGUAACCUGCCCCCUUCUUUGGGAUAACGCCCGGAAACGGGUGCUAAUACUGGAUAUUCACUGGUCUUCGCAUGGGGGUUGGUGGAAAGGGUUUUUCUGGUGGGGGAUGGGCUCGCGGCCUAUCAGCUUGUUGGUGGGGUGAUGGCCUACCAAGGCUUUGACGGGUAGCCGGCCUGAGAGGGUGACCGGCCACAUUGGGACUGAGAUACGGCCCAGACUCCUACGGGAGGCAGCAGUGGGGAAUAUUGCACAAUGGGCGGAAGCCUGAUGCAGCAACGCCGCGUGCGGGAUGACGGCCUUCGGGUUGUAAACCGCUUUCGCCUGUGACGAAGCGUGAGUGACGGUAAUGGGUAAAGAAGCACCGGCUAACUACGUG
rnacentral:rRNA from 1 species